UUACCGGCGUUUUUUAAUAAAAACGCCACAAAUAUUACAAUAUACGGUGUCU
rfam:Gossypium raimondii chromosome 11, whole genome shotgun sequence.